GAUUUCUGGCUUGAUGUACCUGUCCCUCUUGGGUUAACCAGGCUGUGUGACGGAGUAUGUCUGCCAUCCUUCUAGAGAAUACAAGCUAUCCUUUACUGGACCGGUUUGUGUCAUCUAGAUCUUUUACUUUGAAAAAAUUAGAGUGUUUCAAGCAGGCGUUUUGCUAUGAAUACAUUAGCAUGGAAUAAUGAGUUAGGACUUCGGUUCUAUUUUGUUGGUUUCUAGGACUGAAGUAAUGAUUGAUAGGGAUAGUUGGGGGUGCUAGUAUUCCGCGGCCAGAGGUGAAAUUCUUGGAUUCGCGGAAGACUAACUACUGCGAAAGCAUU
rnacentral:rRNA from 1 species